UGCAGGUUCCUCCAUCCAGUUGUUUGUUUACCUCACAAUAGUCCAAAAACAAACAGCUUUAUUUAGUUUGUCUCCUGUUUUUGCUGCAGUCUAAGAGCCGGACUGUAACAGCGAGUACGCCGUUAUCUGUAUCUGUUCGACCAAAUAAAUGAUCUAUAUUAGUAUCUGUACUCUGAGUGGGCGGGGCUUAGAUACUUAAUAAUGAAUUAAUUAGUGAUGUAGGUCGAUCAGAAGUUGCUGUAUUUGUUUUCAACUCAACAACAAGUCGACUUCUCAGUUGAUUUAUUCCCUCAGUAAACAGUUUCCUGAUGAGUUUCUGGUCUCAGUCUCUAGUUUCAGUCUUCUUCCAUACAGCAUGAUGUUCAUUUAGUAACUGAUGGUCCCAUUUAGAGUAAAACAGACCAUAAAGCAGGGUAUGCUUUAGGGCGGGGCUACCUUGUGAUUGACAGCUCAUUCUCAGUGAGUCCGUCCAGCUCAACGCACCAAACUCAGAUCAAACUGUCAAACAGUGCUGAUCAGAUAUGGAUCCAGAUUCUGUUGUUGACUAUUUCUCUCAGAUCCUGUGUAACCAGGCGAGCCUCCGUUGUUUCCUGCUACUGUCAUGACGACGCCCGUAACGCCAAACUCGAGGCUUCAGAACGGGACUCCACAAACCGAUGGCUGACGUCGCACUUGCUGUAUUUGUAGAAAAGUCUGAACACACGAUGGGAGGGGAUCCACGUUCCCAGGGUCUUCCUCAGUCCACAUUAACCCUCCUAUUGUGUUCGGGUCAAAAACCCUAAUCCCGACCCCGGGAGCAGACGACCCCGGGAGCGCAGGAAUGACCCCGACUAACCAAACCAAACUGCAGCUGCAAGCAACCAGAUAAACUGCGAAACCAAUCAGACGUUAACAGACACAGCCUGGUGUUAUUUUGUCUCUGAGCUCCUCCGGCUGUAUUCACCGUCUCUGGGAACCGUUGGGAACGAACCGUUGGGAACCGUGGGGAACCGUUGGGAACCGUGGGGAACCGUUGGGAACCUCUCCUUUGGGCUUCGGGCCUAAAUUAAACCCUCUAACGUACGACUAGAGCACAUGUGAGCGGCUCCUCUCGUGGAUAAUGAUGUUUGAAAAGGUCCUUGAGGGUUUUUUUUUAACGACUCCUCUGCAGUGUUUUUGUCUCCCGUUCACAGAUGGCGGCGUGGCGAUGUGGUUGUGUCACGGGACCACCAGUUUUCCACGUCGCUCUGCCAACGCUGCCCGGCUGCUGCAGCUGCUGGCCUGAACAUCAGAGACAUUGCUCUUUGUUGUUUUAUUCUUUUUCUUCCUGCCCGGUGGCGUGUCCACAGUGGAGGGAAAAGCACAUGGGAUUGUGGGUAAACCUCAGUCACACAGACCAGGAUUGAAGACACCUGCUGCCACGAUGGAUAAUUAAAGGAAUAUGUUUAGUUUUUGUAGGUUUUAAUCUCCGUCAGUGGUCUCAUUCUGUCCGUUUAUUAGCAGCAACCAUCCACAUAUCAAAGAAGGACGUCGUCUCCACUUCCUGCCGCUGCUGGUUGGUGGUCGUUAAAGGGUCACAUGAUUUUUUCCUAUUACACACAAAUACACUGAUCAUCCGUUCUCUUUCUGUUCCAGGAUCAUUAUUAUUCUCUGUUUACAUUAGAUAGUUUUAAUUCUUCUUACAAUCAUCAAUGUAAAUAGUUAUUAGCUUUAUUUAAAAAACAGCUGUAGGCAGACAAACUUCUCUUCGUCUCUAAAAGUACGAAUAAAAACAGGUUCAGGGAGUUGAUGUUCAGCCUGGAGGUUUGUGUGACUGAACUGUGCCACUUCAGAUUUGGGUCAACUGGAAACCUUCAAUCCAAACAGCUUUAAAGCUUCAGAGACUCAGAGACCUGCAGGCUGCUGGCGCCACCUGCUGGACGACGGAGGUCUCACAGCUGAGCUCUCCUGUAUGGAUCUGCAGUCUGACACUAGAAGGAUGUUUUUCACAUUCAGCUGCUGGAAGUUUCUCAGGACAGAGGUGAAAAAAGUUUGCAGCCCUGGAUGUACGCAAGCCUCUCGUCCCCAUGUGCAGUGCCAAGGGUCGCCCGGAGCCCCCACUAGGGGUUGCCAAAGCUUCACAGGGGGGACACAAGUUCUUCUUUAGAGUAAGAAAGCGUAAAAAAUAUACACAGUUGAGCUGAGGAGACUCAACACUUGUAGCUACUGAGGAUCGGUAGAAAAGGUCAGGACGUCAUGUUUAGUUUAUGAAAUGUUACAAAUAUUUUCAACUUUUAUGUGUAAUGCCGACACAUUUUUACAACUAGAGCACGUAAGAAUCACUUUUAUAUGAUUUAUGAUAAAUGAAAAGAGCCACAGAUUGCCUUAGAUAGACUGUAUAAUUGUUUAAAACAUAAAUACACAAUACAGACAGAAUUGUAAAAAAAAAAAGUUCAUAAAACCAUCAGAAAGCUCACCUUUAAUGUCACAUUUGCAGUAAAUAAUGUGCUCCAAAUUAAUCCAAACCGCUCAUUUUACACAAGCGUCCUGCAGUUAUUGUGCAUCAGCUGUUCUGUUAAUAUCCAUAAUGUAUGUCACAUAUUCAGGAGUCAACAGUUUAAUAAACUAUAGAAAACAAACAGGGUCCCGAACUGGAUCGUAUAGUGUCUCCUGUGCAGUUUGGUGGAGGAGAUCUGAGGCUGUUUUUCAGGGUUUGGGCUUCCAGUUUGGGGGCAGGCCCGGCACCACGAGGGGGCUAAAGGGGGGCUUAGACACCUCAGCUGUAUUUGUUUUUACCCCCUCUGGUGAUUGGACGAUGUUUGUCGUCCACAGUACUGAGGCGGGUCGCUGGUUUCUUCACCUGCUUUGCUUCUUUGUGGUUUCGAAUUCUUCCUUUCCACCAACCGACAGACAGAAAGGAAACAGAAACUUUAUGUUGUUGUAAUUCUGAAACUAUAUACAUCGUUAAAGAUCUCUCACAGUAUGAUGAGGUUUGAUGCGUUUGGUGUCGAAUAACCUCAAACAGGGUUGAGGGUUAGGGUGAGUCCGACCUCGCCUAUACUCGUUCCAGGAUGGUCUGCGGCUGUUAUAUCCACACAGGUUGGGGGGGGGGGGGUCAUACUCCAUAUUAAUGCUCAACAACAAGCUCAUACAGGUGUGAUGAGUCCUACAUUAUAAGUUUCGAGGAGCUUAAACUGAGACUGUUGCUGCUGCUGAAGAUCCUGAGAGCUUUCAUCGACCGUGUGGAGUUCCACAGGGAAGCGUUUCGGGUCCUCUGCCCGUCUUUGAAGUUUUAUUUUGCGGAUGAUUCUAACAUUUUAGGCUCAAUUCAAGAACGAGAACAAACGUCGGAUCCGUUCAGAAGUGAUGCUCGGUGGUGACAGCAGCGAUGACCUCGUCACAGUCGUCAUCCAAUCCCGUCGCAGCCCGGGUGGGCGGGGCCAUCGCAGCGAAGACGGGGAGGUGAUUUCCUACAAACAAAGCAGCGAUCCAGCUGGGCGGAGACUCUCCGUGACCAUCGAUGUGACACUUGUAGAGGCCUUCGUCAGACCGGGAAACGUGGCGGAUGGUCACCUGACCCGUAGGCUCGGCUCGGAUGAUGGCGC